rnacentral:lncRNA from 1 species
AAGUCUGAAUUGGAAGCACACACUUCUGUCACGGCCUUUAGCACACACUUUACCUUGAUUGUCAGUUAAAUUUCUAAAUUUUGCCAUCAUGAAUUCUGAUCUUAUUCAUUCGUGUACGUAAGUUAUUUUAUCUCCAAGAUGAAAGAUGUUCAGUCCUUCUAAAAACGCGUGUAUGUUUAUUAUUUUGUCCUCAGGGAGGAUGCAUCUAUGGAAAACCUGUGCAAACUAGCUGAGGAAUGUGUCUGCCCAGAAGCCUCUGUGACUGCUUGUGCCGUGAGACCCAGACUCUUCUAAGAGACCCUUAGAUUGGCUUUAUGACUUUUCCAGCUUAAAAGUCUGCAGCUUUCUCAGUAUCAGUGUUUAGUGUGUUUUAGUUUAUUUUUAAAACGUCUUCUUAUAAAACAGUCCUUGGAGGAUCCGUUCAGCACUCCAGGUGAGGGUGCGCCAGAAAGAGCAGCCUGGACGUUCCAAACCCUUCGAAGCAUAGCAGCGCCGUCAAGGCACCAACAGGUAAACCUCAGGCCGGAGAAGCCACAGGGGUUUCCAGCCACAGCGGCCAAGCUGAGCUCCAGCGUUUCAAGCAACCCCUUCAAGAAAGAGCCGACUUGGGGGUCCCCAUGCCGCUCACUCAGAGAACCAGGUAGGGGAUCCGGGUCCCUGCUCUUGGGAAGAAUUUUGAUCAAGUUCAUCAACCCCUGAAAGAGUUGAGAAAUAUUUUACCACAUUGGAAAAACGACUGAGGCCAGCAGAGGCAAAGAGGUGGGCCGGUCGGCUCCCACAGGCCUGUGGUCCGAGCCUGGGCCUCUUCCUGCCCAGGGCAGCAUGACAGGAUCCGUUCCCUGUUCCUGCUCCUUCUCUUCAGCCCCUCCCGUCAAUUCCUUCUCCCAGCUGCGUGGGCAUUUGAUACCAGGUUCCCGAAGGGUGAGCCCUUGCUCAGAGACCUCUCCACUGUCCGCACCCCCAGACGAGGGCACGAUUUCAGAACACCUGCUCUCCUUGCCGUCACUUCUCCACGUGACUCCCAGCCCACGAGCCACCUCUGCAAAGGACCGAGGCCAGCAAACCUCUUCCUGAUGUACAGCCAGUGGGACUCAGCUGCGUCCUGGACCGAUUCACUUCUCACAAAAUUAUCCUGACAGCCUCGCUUGCUGACCUCGGGGAACCCAGACUGAACCCGUUGCCUUGCCUUUGGGACCAGGACGGGCGUUGUUUAAAGAUGGGCCCUGUAUGUCGCUCCAGAUCAGAAUGUUUUCCUUUUAUAGCAUUUUAACAGCUUUUCCCAGAAAACAUCAGCCUUA